rnacentral:rRNA from 1 species
CGCGGCCUAUCAGCUUGUUGGUGAGGUAACGGCUCACCAAGGCAUCGACGGGUAGCCGGUCUGAGAGGACGAUCAGCCACACUGGGACUGAGACACGGCCCAGACUCCUACGGGAGGCAGCAGUAGGGAAUCUUGCGCAAUGGGCGAAAGCCUGACGCAGCAACGCCGCGUGGGGGAUGAAUGCCUUCGGGUUGUAAACCCCUUUCAGCAGGGACGAAAAUGACGGUACCUGCAGAAGAAGCUCCGGCCAACUACGUGCCAGCAGCCGCGGUAAUACGUAGGGAGCGAGCGUUGUCCGGAAUUAUUGGGCGUAAAGAGCUCGUAGGCGGUUCAGUAAGUCGGGUGUGAAAACUCAAGGCUCAACCUUGAGACGCCACUCGAUACUGCUGUGACUUGAGUCCGGUAGAGGAGUGUGGAAUUCCUGGUGUAGCGGUGAAAUGCGCAGAUAUCAGGAGGAACACCAGCGGCGAAGGCGGCACUCUGGGCCGGUACUGACGCUGAGGAGCGAAAGCAUGGGGAGCAAACAGGAUUAGAUACCCUGGUAGUCCAUGCCGUAAACGUUGGGCACUAGGUAUGGGAUCAUAUCAACGGAUUCCGUGCCGUAGCUAACGCAUUAAGUGCCCCGCCUGGGGAGUACGG